rnacentral:piRNA from 1 species
UCACACUCCACACAGUAGCCACAGCAAC